rnacentral:rRNA from 1 species
AUGCAUCGGUUUGCAUGGUGGAGAUUGUGUGUUCCAAAGAAGGAAGGUGGGCUUGGUUUUAGAGACUUGCACAGUUUUAAUCUUCCAAAACAAUGUUGGCGACUAAUCCAGAACCCGGACUCUUUGUGUACACAAGUUCUAAAGGCAAAAUACUAUCCAGACGGAGAUAUCCUCAAAGCAGGUCCAAAGAAAGGUUCAUCCUUCACGUGGCAAAGCAUUAUAGUGGGCAUCCAGACUUUCAAUAGGGGUUGUAUAUGGCGAGUGGGAACGGGAUCAAAAAUUGAUAUUUGGCAGGACCCAUGGAUUGCAUCGAGUGUGACACAAAGGGUAAUCACUGAGAGGGGGGCAACACUGCUCACCAAAGUAGAAGAUCUAAAUGAUCCAUAUACGGGACAGUGGGAUGAAGACCUCAUUCGUGAUAUUUUCUCACCUGUGGAUGUACACAAAAUAUUACAUAUUCGGUUAUCUGCUAACUUGACAGAGGACUUUGUAGGAUGGAACUACACAUGCUCUGGCACCUUCUCUGUGAGGUCGGCGUACCACAGGGAAUUUGAACACCAGCAUGGAUCGCGCCUUAUGAGAGCUGAUGGACAAGGGAGGCAACAUAUAAAUGCGGUCUGGAAAGAUAUGUGGAGCCUUAAAAUACUGGGAAAAAUCAAGCAUUUUGCUUGGAAAGUAUUGCACGGAGUUCUCCCUUGUUUAGGAGUCCUAGAUAACUGGCAUAUCCCAUGUUCUCCACAAUGUCCAGUGUGCUCGGUUGGUGAUGAGGAUAUACAACAUUGUUUGUUUAAAUGUCGAAGAGCAACCAAAGUCUAGGACAGUUUGGGGCUGCUGCAAGACAUACAAAGAUUUGUCAUCGAAGAUAGAUCGGGAUCUAUAACCAUGGAGAUCAUCUCGAAAUUACGAGGCACUGAUGGAGAGAUACCAAAGGCAGAACUUGAUGUUAUUGCUGCAUGGUAUAUAUGGUGGCAGAGAGGACAGUCGGUGAAAGGGGUACAGGUUCAGAACCCAGAGAAAACUGCACUCUCGAUCAAGGUGUUAGCAACAAACUACAUUAGAUCGUUUAAGCCGAAUGGACCUGCUAGGAAGAUUGAUGAUUUAUGGAAAAAACCAGUGCAUGGGAUGGUAAAGAUAAAUGUUGACGCUGCUUUCCAGUCUGAGACACUCUCUGGCGCUUGUGGAGCGGUAGCUUGA